CGGAGGCUCAGCCCGGGAAGGCUCCGCGCGGUGGCGGCGGUGACUGUAGGGGACGGCGGCGCGGGAUGGGACGGAGCGCGGCGUCAGCUUUACGUGGGGAAUCAAAAAGCACUGUGUUGGCGUGAGGUAGCGGUGUUGUUCUGACUUGGCCUGAGACGGUGCUUUCCCUGGUAGUGCGGUGCUGCUUGGAGGAGGGAAUGAAGUAAUGGAGUAACGUUCCGGCGGUAGUUCUGCAGCGCGCUGCCCCGCUCCGCAGCCCGCAGCUCGGGAGCUGAGCCAUCCGGCUGCUGAGCAGUGUGAUGUAGGGCUGUUAGGUAGACCGAUGGCCGAGGUGUAACCGGUAAGGAUGAAGUGACAAGUUACAGCGCUUGCGAACUUGAGGAUCCGAAGGAUUUAAAGCCCGUAUUUGAGCCGUGGAAGUGCGCUUUGUUAGCUGUUGUGCUCAAUUAGUGCUAGCUUAGUUGGGCAUUUAAGGAGAAAACAGGCAAACGUGGAAAGACCGUCACUUGCCUACGCUGAAAUGAAGGCCCCAAGUCGUUCUUGCCCUGUGAAUGUGGCUUUCAAGUAGGUCCUGCCAGAAGGAUGCUUCAUCAGCAGCUGUUCAGCCUGUCACCAGGACCGGGCUGUAUUCCCGCUGAGCAACGUGGAAGCAAGAUUUAUUUCCAGAAGCAUUCUGGGGUUGUGUUGUGCAAAGCAAUCUCUCCUCACUGCUGGCUGAAAGGUGACUUCGUAGGGUUUUUUGGUGUUUGCAUGGCUUGUGGGAGUGGGAAUGUAGUUAUUGGGCAGAGAAUGGAGAGGUUUUGUUGUACGUGAAAUAAUUGAGUUGGUCGUUUUUCUCCUCCUUUUCCACAGCUAUUUUCUUCACAUAAAUAAGAUUAGAAAACACUUCUUAGUCAGAUGCCAAAACAAUAGUCUUGAUUAUACACAGUAGUAUCAGAAGUUGUGUGGUCUUUGCUAAUCUUUCUGUUUGUGGAAGUAAUGAAAAAUGACUUUAUUUCAGAAUUAGAAUUGCUUGUGUUUUAAAAAGAGACUUUCAUAGCAGGAGUAGGUUGACGAGGCUUCAAGUUUGAUAUAUGUGGUUCAGCUCAUACUAUUCUCUGUAGUUAAUAGCAGUAUAGACCUGCUCUGUUUUUGAGAAUAUGCCCUAUCUGUACAACGUACCUUGAAUAAACAACGAUAAUGAUUUUAGGAGUGCCAAUACCAACUUCUUACACACUGGUUGUUCUUUGUUGACUAGAUUAGCUCAGAUGUAUAUGGUUUGUUCUUCAGUGAGAGGAAACAUGCCAUGUAUUUAUAUGAAACAAUAAGUGUCUGCAGGCAGUAUUCCUCUGCAGAGGAAAGCGAAAGAAAAGCCACGGAUGUGACAGAUGAUAGUAAUGUUAGCUUAAAGCUUCUUGUAUGCAGUGAUUAGUAG
rnacentral:lncRNA from 1 species